rnacentral:rRNA from 1 species
CAGGGCUCUUUUGGGUCUUGUAAUUGGAAUGAGUACAUUUAAAUCCCUUAACGAGGACAAUUGGAGGGCAAGUCUGGUGCCAGCAGCCGCGGUAAUUCCAGCUCCAAUAGCGUAUAUUAAAGUUGUUGUGGUUAAAAAGCUCGUAGUUGAACCUUGGGCCUGGCUGGCCGGUCCGCCUCACCGCGUGUACUGGUCCGGCCGGGCCUUUCCCUCUGUGGAACCCCAUGCCCUUCACUGGGUGUGGCGGGGAAACAGGACUUUUACUGUGAAAAAAUUAGAGUGCUCCAGGCAGGCCUAUGCUCGAAUACAUUAGCAUGGAAUAAUAGAAUAGGACGUGUGGUUCUAUUUUGUUGGUUUCUAGGACCGCCGUAAUGAUUAAUAGGGACAGUCGGGGGCAUCAGUAUUCAAUUGUCAGAGGUGAAAUUCUUGGAUUUAUUGAAGACUAACUACUGCGAAAGCAUUUGCCAAGGAUGUUUUCAUUAAUCAGGAACGAAAGUUAGGGGAUCGAAGACGAUCAGAUACCGUCGUAGUCUUAACCAUAAACUAUGCCGACUAGGGAUCGGACGGUGUUAUUUUUUGACCCGUUCGGCACCUUACGAGAAAUCAAAGUGCUUGGGCUCCAGGGGGAGUAUGGUCGCAAGGCUGAAACUUAAAGAAAUUGACGGAAGGGCACCACCAGGGGUGGAGCCUGCGGCUUAAUUUGACUCAACACGGGGAAACUCACCAGGUCCAGACACAAUGAGGAUUGACAGAUUGAGAGCUCUUUCUUGAUUUUGUGGGUGGUGGUGCAUGGCCGUUCUUAGUUGGUGGAGUGAUUUGUCUGCUUAAUUGCGAUAACGAACGAGACCU